rnacentral:rRNA from 1 species
UACGGAGGGUGCAAGCAUUAAUCGGAAUUAUUGGGCGUAAAGGGCGCGUAGGCGGAAUUGUAAGUCAGAUGUGAAAUAUCGAGGCUCAACCUCGAUGCUGCAUUUGAAACUACAAAUCUAGAGGAUAGACGGAGAAAACGGAAUUCCACGUGUAGCGGUGAAAUGCGUGGAUAUGUGGAAGAACACCUGUGGCGAAAGCGGUUUUCUAGUUUAUUCCUGACGCUGAGGCGCGAGAGCAAGGGGAGCAAACAGG